GAAAGGGAGAGAGGAAAUCUUCGAUUUUUCAUGGCUGUGAACCACUGCAAGUAUUGAAGAAAUAUUUACUACUUCCAGCCUCAUAAUCCUGCAGUCAUUUGGCACCUCUGAAGCCUUGGGGAGCACUGAAGCCAAGGCUGCACCGUACCAAAAAUUUGAAACAUGUGAAUGAGCUGAAUGUGGAAGGACUACCGGAAAACACUCCUUUCAGAAUCCCCUCAUUGCAUGAAAUCCCAAGGCUCGAAAACAUCUUUCAAGUGAGCAAUUGAAUUAAGUUUGUUAUUAAGAGCUUGGUGAAAGGUAGAAGUUACACGUGAGAAGGCGGUGGAGCCAGGCACAUGAUGGAGCCUCGAAGAGUGGAAGGUGGCACCUGGCUCUGUGAGGAGGGUGUGAAGUCCUCCAUGGGAGGAAGAGAUGCCAGCAAAGGAGUAACUCCAGUUAGCCUCCAUUGUCUCCAAGCCGGCUUUUGUCCUCAUCCACAACGCCUCCACACAAGCUCUGAACACCUGUCCAUUGCUAACUUGAGACUGCCAUGCUGUUAGGAAGUUCAAGUUCACCACAUGGAGAUGAAAUAAGAUAUCAUGAUAAACAUCCCCAGCUGAUCCCAGCCUCCAGUGAUCCAUCAACUACAUAUAUGAUCCUAAGUCACAUGUGUGACCCCGAGCAAGAUCAGCAGAACAAUCACUCAGCCAACCCACAGA
rnacentral:lncRNA from 10 species